rnacentral:rRNA from 1 species
UGGGGAAUUUUGGACAAUGGGCGCAAGCCUGAUCCAGCCAUGCCGCGUGUGGGAAGAAGGCCUUCGGGUUGUAAACCACUUUUGUCAGGGAAGAAACGGCUCUUACUAAUAUUAGGAGCUAAUGACGGUACCUGAAGAAUAAGCACCGGCUAACUACGUGCCAGCAGCCGCGGUAAUACGUAGGGUGCAGGCGUUAAUCGGAAUUACUGGGCGUAAAGCGUGCGCAGGCGGCUUCUCAAGUCAGAUGUGAAAUCCCCGGGCUUAACCUGGGAACUGCGUUUGAAACUGGGAGGCUAGAGUGCGGCAGAGGGGGGUGGAAUUCCACGUGUAGCAGUGAAAUGCGUAGAUAUGUGGAGGAACACCGAUGGCGAAGGCAGCCCCCUGGGCCAGCACUGACGCUCAUGCACGAAAGCGUGGGGAGCAAA